GAUGAACGCUGGCGGCGUGCCUAAUACAUUCAAGUCGAGCGAACAGACGAUGAGCUUGCUGCGUCCACGUGAGCGGCGGACGGGUGAGUAACACGUAGAUCACCUACCUAUAAGACUGGUAUAACUUCGGGAAACCGGAGCUUAUACCGUAGAAUAUCUCGAACCGCAGUGUUCGAUAGAGAAAGAUGGCGUUGCUAUCACUUCUAGAUGCACCUGCGCCGUUUUAGCUAGUUGUGAGGGUAACGGCUUAUCAAGGCAACGAUACGUAGCCGACCUCGCAGGGUGAUAGGCGACAUGGGAGGGUGACCGGCGACAAGACGACUACGGGAGGCAGCAGUAGGGUAUGUUAGGCAACGGGCGAAAGUAUGACGGAGCAACGGCGCGUGAGUGACGACGGUCUUCGGAUCGUAAAACUCGGUUAUUAGGGAAGAACAACCGUGUAAGUAAAUGUGCACGUCUUGACGGUAACUAAUAAGAAAGCCACGGCUAACUACGUG
rnacentral:rRNA from 1 species